UACAGAGGGGGCAAGCGUUGUUCGGAAUUAUUGGGCGUAAAGGGCUCGUAGGCGGUCUGUUGCGUCGGGAGUGAAAACUUACAGCUUAACUGUGAGCGUGCUUCCGAUACGGGCAGACUUGAGGUAUUCAGGGGAGAACGGAAUUCCUGGUGUAGCGGUGAAAUGCGCAGAUAUCAGGAGGAACACCGGUGGUGAAGGCGGUUCUCUGGGAAUAUCCUGACGCUGAGGAGCGAAAGCGUGGGUAGCGAACAGG
rnacentral:rRNA from 1 species